rnacentral:rRNA from 1 species
AUUGGGACAACAUUGGGAAACCAGUGCUAAUACCAAAUAAUGCAGCGGGCUCUUCGGAGCAUUGUUGUUAAAGUAGGCUUCGGCUUACACUUUGAGAUAGGUUUGCGUCCGAUUAGUUUGUUGGUGGGGUAAUUNCCUACCAAGACUAAGAUCGGUAGCUGGUCUGAGAGGAUGAUCAGCCACACUGGAAUUGAGAUACGGUCCAGACUCCUACGGGAGGCAGCAGUAAGGAAUUUUGCACAAUGGGCGAAAGCCUGAUGCAGCAACGCCGCGUGAACGAUGAAGUUUUUAGGAAUGUAAAGUUCUGUCGUAUGGGAAGAGAUCUUUCGAAUGUUAAUACCAUUCGUUAAUGACGGUACCAUACAAGAAAGCACCGGCUAACUUCGUG